AUGGUCAGAAUAGCAUUACUGAAGCAGAGGGGAUGGAAAGGGGGGAAAAAAAGUAACCUUUUUGUUUUUGUUACCAGGUGGGGAAUGAAAAUGGCACCUCUAAGCCUUGAAGCAGAGAUCUCUAUCAUGUCAAGAUCUUUCCCUAUUAAGUUCAGUGCAAUCCAGAGGAUUUAUCACUGCCCUUUCCUGCAAAAAGUAUGCUAAAAAAGUUCAGAUGACAUCAGAGGUUCUGCAGGAGUCUUCUCUUUGGAGGAGAAUUCGCUGACCUUACAUAUAUGAUAUAAAAUCUUCCCUGUGUUUGCUAUCGUAAGGAGAAAGAAGAUCUUCAAAAGAGUGCUCCAACUGACUUAGUUAAAAUGGGAUUAAUUGCCUUCAUGAAAGCACCUGUUCUGCAUGGACAGAUCUGAGGAGAUUGGCUGGAAUUAUUCUGCUGAAUUUAGAUAGAUAAAAUUUUCAUCCUCUGCUGUUGUAAGUGAACUUAACUAGAUAAAACAGAAUCUUUGAAAACUUGUCAUUGUGUUGUCCUCCUAGACAUCUUAAUCUUAAAUCUUUACUGUAACUUCAAUUUUAUUUAAUUUGGUUUCUUCUUAAAGUAGUUGCAUAGUUCUGCUUUUCACCUAUUUUCUUUAGGACAAGGAUUUCUCCCUCCACCUCCACUAGGUACUGUAGGUUAUGUCAUGCUGUGGCUAAGGUUUCCCGUCCAGUAGUGCAACACUGAUAUCAGACUUUCUCUUUCAUGGAUCUGGGGUUACCAAUACCAUUUAUUGGUUUAGAGAGUAACUCUUUUCAUUGUUCAGAGCUGUCCACUUUCAGGCAGUUAACUUCAUCCUUUUCAACUGAGUAUGUAUUUUAAAUAUAAUUUUUAACUUCCCAUUUGCACAUCUCAUCUGACCAUGAUACUAGCAUUUGGUUGUGUUGGAGAGAUGGCUGAGAUAACCUCAAACAAACAUGAGUGUAACAAAUACAUCUUAUCUGGAAAAUAACAUUGUCUAAAUAUUAUUUGUGCUUUUCGGUCAAGUUUGUAUCCUGAUUUUGGUGUUAUGAAUAUGAGAUAGAUACUUUUUUGUGGAAGAGACUUGUUGGAAAAUAGGGAAAUUAAGUUUUAAAGAAAAAAUCCCCAACUUUCAGUUAAUAACGCUAUAAGUUUUCCUCAGGUAUUUUUGAGGAACAGUUAAUUUCUAUGUUCAAAUUUUAAUCACUGUGUAUAAAUAUACAACUGGUCAAUCAAAAUAUAUAGCUGAAUGAACACAUAAUGCUUAUAAAUACUGAAAUCCAAAUAAAGCAAGAAGGAAAACUAGAUAAUCA
rnacentral:lncRNA from 1 species